rnacentral:tRNA from 1 species
GCGCCCGUAGCUCAGUCGGAUAGAGCACCAGAUUCCUAAUCUGGGGGCCACAGGUUCGGAGUCGGAGGCG